UUAAUAGCGAUGAAAAGAUGAGUAGUUAACAAAUUCGUGUUCAGCGAGCUCUUAUUUUGAUGAGAAAGAGUCAUGAUGUGUUGAUGAAGAUGGUCUGGAAGCUUAAAAAAUAACAAGUCAAUUAGAUUAGUUAUCUUUGGGGCCGCCCAUUAUAGCGGUAAGGUGUAGUUUUUUUGCAUCUGAUAAAGCUCAAAUUAUUUUGAGAUAAACAAGGUGGUACCGCGAAUUUCGCCCUUGAA
rnacentral:ncRNA from 1 species